UCUCACCUGGCGGUUGGUGCCGUUAGUCUCCCGGAGUUGAGCCGGUACCCUAUUCUCUGCGCGGCAUAACCGCGCUCUGGUUAGGGUGGGACAGACAGCCCAGAGGAGGCCAUGGGCCUCGCCUCGCCCGGCCUCAGGGCGCAGAAGCCUGUUGAAGCCAGAUUUGAGGCCACAGCGGCGCGCCAAUGAGGAAAAGUGCUAGGACCCCCAGACGAGGAAGUAGGCGGGUGGAGAACGAGCCUGUUCAUCCAUGAAACUGCCAAGAGCUUACCAAGCCUGUGCAUUUCUAAAUUGGGGACUGCCCAGAGAGGCUCCACCCCCGAGGUGGAGGCUUAGGGGGUGAACGAUACAAACUGCCUGGAGGCUGGGACUUGGCACCUCUCUGGAGUCUUGCCGGAAGUAGCUUCCUUCUGACACAUCCAGGAAGGAUGGUUGCGGCACCUUGGAGACAGAGCCAGGAGCCAAAGUCAGAACAGGCCAGGGGCUGGCCACCUGUGGACCACCUGUCUAUGCCCAUGACCAAAGACCACCAGGAACAAAGUUGGAUUUACCGGCUGGUUACAAUGAGGGAGACUAUGUACGGGUACAGAUGAGGAGUCCUGGGGCAUCUCAGUGCGAAGGUGUUACAAGAGACUUAUAACAGCACCUGUGUUAAAAACUGCGAGGGCAGUUUCGAGGAAGCAUGGAUUCGUUCUGGAUUGGGUACUUUCAGGAAGCAGGAUCCACUCUAUGACUGGGCAUCUCAAUUUUCAUAGAGAAGCUGAGACAAAGGCAGCAGAGCUAAAACUGUGGUUGGUAACAAGAUGGCCAUCACCCGUGUUAGCUGGGGGUGGGGGGGCAGAGGAUGUUGCGUGGUUUCUGUGGUUUGCACAGUGGCCUUGAUUCCUUCUGUGCUUGGACAUGAGUGUGGAAUAGCCCUGUUUUGUCAGACCUCAUCUGGGGUUGGCGAUCAGAGCAACUGGCUGUGUUCAGCAGGAGAACUUCGUGGUUGCCAGGGACAACUUUUCUCUUUCUCACUGCAAAGGCAAAGCCUUGACCUUCAAGUGCCAGCCUUCUGUCCAUCCUAGUCUCAUAUCUUCAUGGUGGGAUAAGGAUCAUCACACUGGAAAAGGAAGAGGGAUGGGCAAGAAUAGGGAGGGGGAUUUGCCGGGGAGGGUGGGAGAAAGUGGCAGCUUGGCCUGGGAUAUUCAUCUCUCUGUCACCUGCACAGAUCCGGGGUUCCCUUCCUCUAUUGGAAGAAGCUCUGAUAAAGAGGUGGGGGGGGCAAUAAAUGACCAUUUCUUAGUACAGAUCAUCCUCACUUAGAAAUACAGUCCAUUCUCAUAGGAAACCUAGGUGGCAUGAUCAUACAUCCCAAUUUUCUGGUACAUCCCUGCUUUCAAGUGUUCUAACUACUCGAUUCCCUUGGACAUAGUUUUGCUACGUAUUAUUUUAUAGAAUUCAGAUUUUUUAGGGAAUCCAUUACUUGUCUGACCGUCUGAGGAGCGGACAGCAAAACGGGAUUAGAAGUGCAAGAGAUUUAUUAGGGGAAACACCUGUGAGGGAUCAAGGGUUUGAGGGAACAGGAGCCAGCAGGGGAAGCCCUCUGCAGUUCGGGCCGCACCCCUGUGCCAGCUGACCCCCAGAGAGAGGGACUGGGUAGGGGAACCACGGGCUACAGUGCACUUCUGGGAAACUCUUGAUCAAGCCCCUGGGGACUCCCCAAGCUUAGCUGCCUCAUCAGAGGAGUCCUCUCAUUGGGCAGAACAGUGGCCCCAAUGCCCCUCCCCUGCUCAGUCAUUGCCCAGAGGCAGCCAGGGAAGACUGGCCGCCUGCCCCUGGAGGGCGGCAGUGGAGGCUGGCAGGGGCUCUCUUGUAGACAUCUGGGCCACCCCCCCACACCCGGGGCCAUACAUUUCUUCAGUGGACAGUUCACUUUUUUGAGCCAUUGAACCAGUUUAAGAGCCCCUAGAAGCAGGCAUCAGGAUGGGAUUAGACAUGCAAGAGAUUUAUUGGGGGGAAUGGUCGUCAGGAUAAAAGGGGGAAAGAAAAGAGAGGAAAAAAAUCCUUACACAAAUGUGAUACAACCUGUGUACUACUGGUGAAGAAAUAAAUUCACAGAAGAGG